ACAGAAAUAGCAGGUCAGAAACGUCGUAAUCAAAAUAAACAGAAUACAAAUUUGGCAGAAAAUUUAAUUUUUUUUUUUUUUUUUUCAAUGAGCUUCGAUAAAUGAGAUUAAAAUUUUCUAUUUUUAAUAGACUGUGAAGAAUGGACCUCAUUUAAGAAAUCCUUCGUCUCUUGGGAAUUCCUUUAAAGAACAUUAAGCAGUAUGCUCUUGAUGAAGCUAUAUGCUUGGCUUAUUCUGAAGCUUUGUGUGAUUUUUGGAAACAUUUGUUUAAGCUAAAUGAAAGAAGAAAAGAAAACAACAUAAUUGUUCAUUCUAAUCCAGUUAACAAAGUGGUUUGAUAUUUCGGAAAGGAAACUGACAGAAUGAUCUUGGUAAAGCAUUAGAAGAACUUAAGAAUACAGAUUUGAAGAAUUGAACACAAAAAAUCAGGAAUGGACACCAGGUGAAUGUGUUCUGGAAUUUUUUUCAGUUCCACUGAUUUUUAAUUCUAUUCACUCAGACUUAAAUAAUCUUUGCAUGGUGGUGUGAUAGUCCAGAAGAUUUUGUGGCAAAGCAUAGAAAUGCUUUAGAAAGUUCUCAUGUAUCUGAGCCACUUCAUCACUGGAUUGAUUUAACUUUUGGUUGUAAAAAGAAAAGAUCAAAGGCUCAGUAGAAAUGAGGAGCCCAUACAAAUUGAAGAAGAAAUAUUCGAAAAGGAUGUCUCGAUACAAAUGUAUUAGAUGGAGGUCCAACUGUUGAAAAUAAAGAAAUAGAUUUGAGUGAAGAGAAGCUAAGAUGUUGAGUAUUAGCUGCAAAUGGUUAACUGGUGAUUUAAAUGCCUGUUGGAUUGCUUAUCUAGUAUAGCAUCACUUUUUGGAGAACAGUUUCUGAUGCUUCAGUAUAUAAAGCAUAUAUAGAUGAUUUAAUAUUUUGUAUAAUCCUGUAAGGUUUGUCUCUGGUGAAGAAGGAAAGAGAAGUAAUAUUGUUUUUAUGAAUGUUAAUAAAUAAUGUAAUAAAUGUUUAAUUUUUAAA